UAAAAUCUAUCAAAUGCCACACAUUGGAGUGUGGGAUUGUUAGCAAAAAGUAGUGUACCGGUAGCUCUGCCCAGCUUCAGCUUGAGCCAGGUCUAAUCAGAUAACUGCAAACACCUGUGUGGAUGUGUGGGCAUUUAAUUAGUUUUACUUCUCUUAAACCUCUUUUUUUUACCUUGCAGUAUUUGUUUCUUGUCUGUAGCAUAUUUAUAUUUGCCGCUAUCAGUACUUCACCAGGUCAAAUGUUGUCAUCACUGUCAGCCGAACGACCCAAUUAAGACAGUGGCACUAGUUCUGCUUCCAAUCAAGGUGGAGCCCAACAUCAUAAAGGACCUCCACCUGGCUGUACAGUGGGUCCGCUGCAACCCGGGGGUGUUCACAGGAGAGGUAAAGGAGCCAGCCUCUCUGUGCUGUGAAUGGAUCAAGAGGACCAGCAGAAGGCCUUGAGGGUGGCACUGGAGGGAGAGGACCUUGAAGCUAAGGACCCCUUCUUGUUUGAGUUUGAGAACAUGGAGGACAUGGAGAUUUUCCUCACAGCAUGUUGGGAUCAGCAGGGCCUGAAAGUCAGCUCUGUAUGUACAAACCCUCACACUCCCUUGUGGCUGGACGCUGAUUAAGUGCCCCCAUACACACACCCUGAUAUCAGCUACAUCACAAAAAAAACAUAAGUGGUAAUGCGUAGAGGAUGUGAAGCCAGGGGCGCCGCCAAGAGGGGGUCAGGGGAGGCCAUGGACCCCUGAUACAAUUGCUGGCCCCCCUCAUGAGUCAUAUGCAUAAUAUGCUUCUGAGUAAUGAGUACUGUAUGUGUAACCCAGGUUAUUUUCUGUAGCCAAAUACAAAUGUUCCCUAAAUGCCUCACUAGCAGGCUAUUGGUAACAUAGACUGUAUAUAAAGAUAGACGACAUGACAGCUCCCCAAAAGUGAAGCCAAAACAUCUCGAUCGACCCUUGGUGGCUGGCUGCAGUAUAGGUCAUAAACCCCGCCCCCCUCCAUGUUAGCGGAUGGGACAUGGGCCAAACUAAAAAUCUACAUGUUUGAGUACACGUCAAAUAAAUGUUUCCCAAAGAUGCUUUCUGUCAGUUUAGGUACUUCUCGUCACACUGAUGCAUGUUCAAGUGUUGUUGUUUUUAUAAGUUUGGUUUUAAUUAGUUAUUUGAUGCUAUAAAAAGGGGGUUUCACGUCAUGAUUGACAGCUGAGCUCUGCUCGCGACUGAGUCAGCCGAGUGUAUGGGCAGGACCUCGAUACCGCAGCAUCAAUCCUGAUCACUACUACGCAGACUCUGGCUCUAAAUGACGUCACCAGCACAAGAUGACAGCUCCAGGAUAUUUUGCCUUCAUUUUUGUACAGUGGGAGGAAUUGGAGACAUCCAUCUUUAUAUACAGUCCAUGAUUGGUAGGCACUUUCUAAUGGGGAUGCGCGAGUACACCACUAUCUGUAUCUGUAUCUGUUCAACCAACUAAAUGAUCUAUAUUCGUAUCUAUACUCAGAAUGGGUGGGGCUUAAACCAGAUGUGGGUGGUGCUUAAACAAGAAGUGGGUGGAACUAACUGGAAGUUGUUCAUUUAAGCCUGAAAUUGAUAUGGGUUAAUCAGAAGUUUUUUUUAUAAAAGUUGCUAUAUUUACGAGUACAGAUAUUGACACGUUUUACUCUGAUGAUACUCGUACUCAUAAAAAGUACAUUAUCUGUACCGGAUACUCAUUUCAGCCGAGUACUUGCUCAACUUUACUUUCCAAGCUACUGUGCGCAGCGAAGCCGCAAGUCCCCACACAGCGACUGGAAAACGCGCAAGACGGGUGUGUGAGACAGAAGCUCACUUAGGUUGAGAAGAAUGAAAUACUACAUUUCUAACCAAAGAUUUCCAAGACGUGAAAUUGAGUGGAGCUGGCAGAAUUGCCAGAGAGAGAAACCUUCUAAGCUGGAGAGUAGCUGUUGAGAGAGAAGUUAUCAUCAGGAUGAACUCCAUCGGGAAUUUCUUCCCAAUAAAGUGGAUUAUCCUGGUGAGUUAUAGCUACCUAAAGGUAGCUGGUUAGCAUUAAGAUUUCUUUGUAAUAGAGUUGAAUUGUGUGUUACUUUACUUUGAGAAACAUGGGAAAGCAAAACCUGUCAGGAUAUAUUGGUGUGAUAUAAAGUAAAUAUGGUUGUUAUAAUGAGCUGUUUAGCCGCCUACCUCUGUCGGCUUAGCUGCGGCCUAAAAGCUAAGUAAGUGCAACUUGCAUGGUUGCUGAUCUAGCUCUAGUAAAACAAUUUGUGUGUAUUUGAAUUGUGGUUAAAGCUAAUGUGUAUGUGCUGUAAAGACUGUAAAAGGCCAGAUGUCUAUUCAUGUCUGUUAUUUUGAAAUUGAGAUAACAAAAACAGACAGUUUAGUUCAAAAAUGUAUAGUUAUUUAAAACUGAUAACCUUAUGGUAAAUAAGGAAUGUUCAAAAGGAAAAAUACAAAGACUAUUAAGAACUAAUAACUGAACUAAUUUGGGUUGAACAGAGGACAUUUCAUUUUUCUUUCCACCUGGUUCCAAGAGUCAAGUAUUUUCUCUAUUCAAAUUGUAUUUGUGUAUGUGUGUGUG